GUUUCACCGUCGCAGCACGUGACUCGAAUGGCUGCUACUCCACGCAAACUGGUCUGUUCCAACUUCACUUCGCCCCCUCCUUAUCGCGUCUCGCCCCGCCACCGUGAAGCCGGAGGCAACUCUCAUUAAACGAAGCUUCACAUCCACCGUUCCCGUGAAGCGGCGGAGACCGUCCCGAAAAGGAGCAACUUCUCAUCUGCAGACUUCGUCGCAAACAAACAAUCUCGAGUGGACUUCCACCAACCAAGUGCCCGGUAGGAGGAGUCAACAGGUUUCAGCUGACGGCCCUGACACACACACACACACACACACACACACACACACACACACACACACACACACAUGCUGAGACGAGGGACCAAGCACGUGGAGAAGACACACACACCAGUCCCAUCAGCCUGAAGUGAGAGGAUAGGAGAAAAGAUAUGGCUCACCAUUCCAGAAGUGGAGACAAGAGGCCUGUUUGUUUUUCGAGAGGUCCGGGACACUUUUCUCUGUGUGUGUGUGUGUGUGUGUGUGUGUACACUUGUUUUUGAGAGGUUGGGACUACUCUUCAGUGCUGCUGAUUGCUCCUGUGUUUCAUGAUGACUGGUGACGCGUCUACUGCAGUACUUGAGCACAAGACUGGAAAGAAAUACCACAGACCAGAGGAUGUGU